UGUGAUUAACGAGUUGGUUAACUUGCCUCCCGUCUUUGCUUAUAGUUGACAACAGAUAAUUCACUGAUGCUGACCAGAGUCGCAGUAAAUUAUGGAAGCUGGUUGCUGGAGGUGCAUUGUUGACCUACAUUUGUUCUCAGAAGUCUAGGUUCACUGGAUGGGCCAACUUCUUUACCUGGAAACAAUGCUUCAAAGAAGCCACCUCGUGCUAUAAUCUUCGAGGACCGGCCAAAAUCGAUAUUGCUCAUUCCAUCAGAUUCAAACUGGCGACCACCACGUAAACAUGUACUGGAAUCUCGUUGGAAGUUGGACCUGGUAACUCUCUAGGAAGUCUCUCAAAUCAAUUUCAUAUAGCCAUUCAACUUAGUGUAAUUUUGGUGAAACAGCAAAAGGCGAUCAGCUGGUGUUAACUUUCUCGUCUCGAACAUGGCAGCUUUACUACAAGAAAAAAUGACACCGUCCUCUGUAUUCCUCCCCCAACUGUCAGCACAUUGCUAGUGGCCUGGUCAAAAAUAGCGUGUAACGUAGAAUUGGCCAAGCAUGUUUUAUCUAGUGCUUCCAUGGUCACGAAAAUAUUAUAUCCAUUUUCAAAUCUCAAGAAUCCUGACUUGGUCUCCGCCUUUGCCACCGUUUUUAUUUUGUUAGGAAUUAGCAAUUAGCAUCGAACACAUAGGAGACUCUUGAAUACUAAAUUGAUUAUUAUGUUGUGGGUGAUGACUUAUUUCCCGUUCUUCACAUGGACAGGCUGGAAUAAUUUAUGAAAUCCGCGUAGCUUAUAGGACUGUUCAAAGCCUCA